rnacentral:rRNA from 1 species
AGAGUUUGAUCCUGGCUCAGAAUGAACGCUGGCGGCACGGAUUAGGCAUGCAAGUCGAACGGUAAGGCCCUUCGGGGUACACGAGUGGCGAAAGGGUGAGUAACGCGUGAGCAACUUGCCCCGAGGUCGGGGACAGCCCCGCGAAAGCGGGAUUAAUACCGGAUGUAGUUUGGGUUUCGCAUGAGGCCCUUACGAAAGCUCCGGCGCCUCGGGAUAGGCUCGCGUCCUAUUAGCUUGUUGGCGGGGUAACGGCCCACCAAGGCGACGACAGGUAGCUGGUCUGAGAGGAUGGUCAGCCACACUGGGACUGAGACACUGCCCAGACUCCUACGGGAGGCUGCAGUCGAGAAUCUUCCGCAAUGCGCGAAAGCGUGACGGAGCGAUGCCGCGUGCGGGAUGAAGGCCCUCGGGUCGUAAACCGCUGUCACCCGGGAUGAAGAUCUGACAGUACCGGGAGAGGAAGCCACGGCUAACUACGUGCCAGCAGCCGCGGUAAUACGUAGGUGGCGAGCGUUAUUCGGAUUUAUUGGGCGUAAAGGGUCCGUAGGGGGUUUGGUAAGUCUGGUGUGAAAGCCCACGGCUCAACCGUGGAACUGCAUUGGAAACUGCCGGACUUGAGCAUCGGAGAGGAGAGUGGAAUUCCUGGCGUAGCGGUGGAAUGCGUAGAUAUCAGGAGGAACACCGAUGGCGAAGGCAGCUCUCUGGACGGUUGCUGACCCUGAUGGACGAAAGCUGGGGGAGCAAAUAGGAUUAGAUACCCUGGUAGUCCCAGCCGUAAACGUUGUGCACUAGGUGUGGGGGGAUUUGACCCCCUCCGCGCCCAAGCUAACGCGUUAAGUGCACCGCCUGGGGAGUACGGCCGCAAGGCUAAAACUCAAAGGAAUUGACGGGGGCCCGCACAAGCGGUGGAGCAUGUGGCUUAAUUCGAGGCAACGCGAAGAACCUUACCUGGGUUUGACAUGUACCGGACCGCCGGUGAAAGCCGGUUUCUCUUAGUAGCUGGUACACAGGUGCUGCAUGGCUGUCGUCAGCUCGUGCCGUGAGGUGUUCGGUUAAGUCCGGCAACGAGCGCAACCCGUGUCGUCAGUUGCCAUCACGUAAUGGUGGGCACUCUGGCGAGACUGCCUGUGUCAAGCGGGAGGAAGGCGCGGAUGACGUCAAGUCCGUAUGGCUCUUACAUCCAGGGCUGCACACGUGCUACAAUGGCCGGUACAAUGGGACGCGAAACCGCGAGGUGGAGCCAAUCCCCAAAACCGGUCCCAGUUCGGAUUGGAGUCUGCAACUCGACUCCAUGAAGCCGGAAUCGCUAGUAAAGGGGUAUCAGCAACGGCCCCUUGAAUACGUUCCCGGGCCUUGUACACACCGCCCGUCACAUCAUGGAAGCCGGCUGCACCCGAAGUCACUGACCCAACCCCUCGGGGAGGGAGGCGCCGAAGGUGUGGCUGGUAACUGGGAUGAAGUCGUAACAAGGUA